rnacentral:rRNA from 1 species
GACGAACGCUGGCGGCAGGCCUAACACAUGCAAGUCGAGCGGGGUUUUCGGACCUAGCGGCGGACGGGUGAGUAAUGCGUAGGAAGCUACCCGAUAGAGGGGGAUACCAGUUGGAAACGACUGUUAAUACCGCAUAAUGUCUACGGACCAAAGUGUGGGACCUUCGGGCCACAUGCUAUCGGAUGCGCCUACGUGGGAUUAGCUAGUUGGUGGGGUAAUGGCUCACCAAGGCGACGAUCCCUAGCUGGUUUGAGAGGAUGAUCAGCCACACUGGAACUGAGACACGGUCCAGACUCCUACGGGAGGCAGCAGUGGGGAAUAUUGGACAAUGGGCGCAAGCCUGAUCCAGCCAUGCCGCGUGUGUGAAGAAGGCCUUCGGGUUGUAAAGCACUUUCAGUAGGGAGGAAGGGUGUUGUGUUAAUAGCACAGCAUUUUGACGUUACCUACAGAAGAAGCACCGGCUAACUCUGUGCCAGCCGCCGCCGUAA